rnacentral:rRNA from 1 species
AUUGAACGCUGGCGGCAGGCCUAACACAUGCAAGUCGAGCGGUAGAGAGGUGCUUGCAUCUCUUGAGAGCGGCGGACGGGUGAGUAAUGCCUAGGAAUCUGCCUAGUGGUGGGGGAUAACGUUCGGAAACGGACGCUAAUACCGCAUACGUCCUACGGGAGAAAGCGGGGGAUCUUCGGACCUCGCGCCAUUAGAUGAGCCUAGGUCGGAUUAGCUAGUUGGUGAGGUAAUGGCUCACCAAGGCGACGAUCCGUAACUGGUCUGAGAGGAUGAUCAGUCACACUGGAACUGAGACACGGUCCAGACUCCUACGGGAGGCAGCAGUGGGGAAUAUUGGACAAUGGGCGAAAGACCUGAUCCAGCCAUGCCGCGUGUGUGAAGAAGG